rnacentral:tRNA from 1 species
AUUAAUAUGGCAGAUUAGUGUAUUGAAUUUAAAAUUCAAUUAAAAAGUUUUUUACUUUUAUUAAUA